rnacentral:rRNA from 1 species
AUGCUGGAAUUUUUCCAGAAGAAGCUGAACCAAGUUGACAACAGAGCUAGGUUCCUCUCUGGUGUUCUGAGUGGUGAUAUCAAGAUCAUUCCCAGGAAGCAAAAGGAUCUGCUACAAGAGAUUGCUGAAAAGGGAUUUGAUACCCUCCCAAAGGAAGUUCUGCCCGCUGCCGUAGGAGCAACAAUAUACAGGGAAGAAAAUGGAAGAAGCCCUGAUGUACAUGCCAGUGAUUAUGAUUAUCUCACCUCCAUGACAAUUUCUGCCUUAAAUGAGGGGUACCUGGAGCAUCUUCUAGAACUAAAGAAGAGGUUUGAAACUAAAGUUGGACUCCUGAGAAGAGCUACACCGGAAUGUCUGAAAUCUGCAAAGAAACGAACUAUAACUCUUGAUAUACAGUUGCUUGAUGCAAACUAUAUAAAAGCUCAAUCAGAUAGAAAGGUUGUGAUAGUCAUUGAUUGCAAACGUUGCAAACACAACAAUGCAUUUGAAGCAGCCCCCAGGACACAUCAUAAAAGGACUGCAGCCGAGUAUCUUGAGGCAAGUGUGGUGCUGAUGGAUGAUGAUGAGGACCAUCUUGCUGGAAGUCUCGAGGCCCAAGAAUUUAGUGACUGA